rnacentral:rRNA from 1 species
AUUGAACGCUGGCGGCAUGCUUUACACAUGCAAGUCGGACGGCAGCACAGAGAAGCUUGCUUCUUGGGUGGCGAGUGGCGAACGGGUGAGUAACAUAUCGGAACGUACCGAGCAGUGGGGGAUAACUAAUCGAAAGAUUAGCUAAUACCGCAUAUCUUCUGAGGAAGAAAGCAGGGGACCAUUUGGCCUUGCGCUGUUUGAGCGGCCGAUAUCUGAUUAGCUAGUUGGUGGGGUAAAGGCCUACCAAGGCGACGAUCAGUAGCGGGUCUGAGAGGAUGAUCCGCCACACGGGGACUGAGACACGGCCCAGACUCCUACGGGAGGCAGCAGUGGGGAAUUUUGGACAAUGGGCGCAAGCCUGAUCCAGCCAGGCCGCGUGUCUGAAGAAGGCCUUCGGGUUGUAAAGGACUUUUGUCAGGGAAGAAAAGGGCGGGGUUAAUACCCCUGUCUGAUGACGGUACCUGAAGAAUAAGCACCGGCUAACUACGUG